rnacentral:rRNA from 1 species
CAGUAGCCGCGGUAAUACAGAGGGUGCGAGCGUUAAUCGGAUUUACUGGGCGUAAAGCGUGCGUAGGCGGCUUCUUAAGUCGGAUGUGAAAUCCCUGAGCUUAACUUAGGAAUUGCAUUCGAUACUGGGUAGCUAGAGUAUGGGAGAGGAUGGUAGAAUUCCAGGUGUAGCGGUGAAAUGCGUAGAGAUCUGGAGGAAUACCGAUGGCGAAGGCAGCCAUCUGGCCUAAUACUGACGCUGAGGUACGAAAGCAUGGGGAGCAAACAGGAUUAGAUACCCCAGUAGUCCCUGUCUCUUAUAC